rnacentral:rRNA from 1 species
UACGUAGGGUGCAAGCGUUGUCCGGAAUUAUUGGGCGUAAAGAGCUCGUAGGCGGUCUGUCGCGUCGGCUGUGAAAACCCGGGGCUCAACCCCGGGCCUGCAGUCGAUACGGGCAGACUAGAGUGCGGUAGGGGAGACUGGAAUUCCUGAUGUAGCGGUGAAAUGCGCAGAUAUCAGGAGGAACACCAACAGCGAAGGCAGAUCUCUGGGACGUUACUGACGCUGGAGACGCGAAAGCGUGGGGAGCAAACAGG